rnacentral:rRNA from 1 species
CGAAUGCUGACAUAAGUAACGAUAAAGCGGGUGAAAAGCCCGCUCGCCGGAAGACCAAGGGUUCCUGUCCAACGUUAAUCGGGGCAGGGUGAGUCGACCCCUAAGGCGAGGCCGAAAGGCGUAGUCGAUGGGAAACAGGUUAAUAUUCCUGUACUUGGUGUUACUGCGAAGGGGGGACGGAGAAGGCUAUGUUGGCCGGGCGACGGUUGUCCCGGUUUAAGCGUGUAGGCUGGUUUUCCAGGCAAAUCCGGAAAAUCAAGGCUGAGGCGUGAUGACGAGGCACUACGGUGCUGAAGCAACAAAUGCCCUGCUUCCAGGAAAAGCCUCUAAGCAUCAGGUAACAUCAAAUCGUACCCCAAACCGACACAGGUGGUCAGGUAGAGAAUACCAAGGCGCUUGAGAGAACUCGGGUGAAGGAACUAGGCAAAAUGGUGCCGUAACUUCGGGAGAAGGCACGCUGAUAUGUAGGUGAAGCGACUUGCUCGUGGAGCUGAAAUCAGUCGAAGAUACCAGCUGGCUGCAACUGUUUAUUAAAAACACAGCACUGUGCAAACACGAAAGUGGACGUAUACGGUGUGACGCCUGCCCGGUGCCGGAAGGUUAAUUGAUGGGGUCAGCGCA